rnacentral:rRNA from 1 species
GAUGAACGCUGGCGGCGUGCCUAAUACAUGCAAGUAGAACGCUGAAGGAAGGAGCUUGCUCUUUCCGGAUGAGUUGCGAACGGGUGAGUAACGCGUAGGUAACCUGCCUGGUAGCGGGGGAUAACUAUUGGAAACGAUAGCUAAUACCGCAUAACAGUAGAUGUUGCAUGAUAUCUACUUAAAAGGUGCAAUUGCACCACUACCAGAUGGACCUGCGUUGUAUUAGCUAGUUGGUGAGGUAACGGCUCACCAAGGCGACGAUACAUAGCCGACCUGAGAGGGUGAUCGGCCAAACUGGGACUGAGACACGGCCCAGACUCCUACGGGAGGCAGCAGUAGGGAAUCUUCGGCAAUGGACGGAAGUCUGACCGAGCAACGCCGCGUGAGUGAAGAAGGGUUUCGGAUCGUAAAGCUCUGUUGUAAGAGAAGAACGAGUGUGAGAGUGGAAAGUUCACACUGUGACGGUAUCUUACCAGAAAGGGACGGCUAACUACGUG